AUCGUCUCCUCCCCAAUCCCCUCCUCAUCGUCCGCCGCCACAGCCGCUCGCGCCGUUUAGCCGGCCGCCAAACUCCUCUCCGCCCCUGCUUCUCGCUGCCGGCGACUGCGGCCGCUGCUGCGCCAUCCCCGCGUUCGCUUCGUCCUCACCAUUCAAUCCCCUGCCGCAUACCGAGGCGGAGCAGCAGUGUGCACCUGCUCGUCGUCUCCAUCCCCGACGGCUGCCCGACGGAACCAGCAGCUUGCCGCUUAUUUGUCGCCCCCGACGGAAGCAGCGCCCCGCCUCAUCUUCACCAUCGCUGGCGGCUGCCCGACAGAAGCAGCAGCUCGCUGCCUCCUCAUCAAUGUUGGAGGUCUGGUAGCAAAUUCCUUCCUCCUGCAACUGCACUUCGCGUCCUCCAGCCCCAGUGCCCCAAAUCAUGAGAGAGGAGAUGGGUGGAGAAUGAACCAGAGGCUACGUAUCCAGUAUCCUCCAUCUCUGGUCCCCUUUGUGUGUGCUUGAGGUAAAUUGUGUCUCCUUUAAUUCCUGGUAUGGGUUACUUAAAUUAAUUCAGUAUCAAAGAUGCUUCGAGUGGUGAGGAACUUGACUGCUUCAUCAUAGAGAUGUUGAAGAUCUACUGUGCUUACAGUAUAAAGGUAAAUAGAAUUUCGGUAAAUCCAUCUUGAGCUAUUUUCCUUGAAUGGUAUAAUACAACAAUGUUUGAUUCUGAUCUCAGCAUUACUUUUCAGUUGCCUACAAUAUUGUUGGAUUCCUUUCUCACAUCAAAAUAUAGGUACAUGUCACCCUUUUAAAUCAGUCCACAUUGUAUCUACAUAUUAAAGUAUUUUUAUUUCAAUAUACAAUAUAGUAUACAUGGUUUCAGCCUUUUAGAUGUUGUGUAGAGUGGAUACCUUAGGUUUAAUUUCUACGGUAAUAAUUGCUAUAAUGGCAUGUUAAACCUGGUGCAUCUACGUAUGGUAAAUUUUCUUUCCCUAUAAAUCUGAGACACCUUUUUUUUUUUUUUGGGAAGUGAACCUGGUACCUGUUUUAUUUAAAGCCAUGUUAAACC